rnacentral:rRNA from 1 species
AUGCAAGUAGAACGCUGAAGAGAGGAGCUUGCUCUUCUUGGAUGAGUUGCGAACGGGUGAGUAACGCGUAGGUAACCUGCCUUGUAGCGGGGGAUAACUAUUGGAAACGAUAGCUAAUACCGCAUAACAAUGGAUGACACAUGUCAUUUAUUUGAAAGGGGCAAUUGCUCCACUACAAGAUGGACCUGCGUUGUAUUAGCUAGUAGGUGAGGUAACGGCUCACCUAGGCGACGAUACAUAGCCGACCUGAGAGGGUGAUCGGCCACACUGGGACUGAGACACGGCCCAGACUCCUACGGGAGGCAGCAGUAGGGAAUCUUCGGCAAUGGGGGCAACCCUGACCGAGCAACGCCGCGUGAGUGAAGAAGGUUUUCGGAUCGUAAAGCUCUGUUGUAAGUCAAGAACGAGUGUGAGAGUGGAAAGUUCACACUGUGACGGUAGCUUACCAGAAAGGGACGGCUAACUACGUGCCAGCAGCCGCGGUAAUACGUAGGUCCCGAGCGUUGUCCGGAUUUAUUGGGCGUAAAGCGAGCGCAGGCGGUUUGAUAAGUCUGAAGUUAAAGGCUGUGGCUCAACCAUAGUUCGCUUUGGAAACUGUCAAACUUGAGUGCAGAAGGGGAGAGUGGAAUUCCAUGUGUAGCGGUGAAAUGCGUAGAUAUAUGGAGGAACACCGGUGGCGAAAGCGGCUCU